GAGAAAUUUGGAUUAAUACCUUAUAGUAAUACGACUUGGCAUCAAGAUGUAUUUAAAGAUUUAUCGGUGAAAGAUGAGCAUGCGUCCCAUUAGCUUGUUGGUAAGGUAACGGCUUACCAAGGCAACGAUGGGUAGGGGUCCUGAGAGGGAGAUCCCCCACACUGGUACUGAGACACGGACCAGACUCCUACGGGAGGCAGCAGUGAGGAAUAUUGGACAAUGGGCGCAAGCCUGAUCCAGCCAUGCCGCGUGCAGGAUGACGGUCCUAUGGAUUGUAAACUGCUUUUGUACAGGAAGAAACCCUUUCACGUGUGGAAGAUUGACGGUACUGUAAGAAUAAGGAUCGGCUAACUCCGUGCCAGCAGCCGCGGUAAUACGGAGGAUCCAAGCGUUAUCCGGAAUCAUUGGGUUUAAAGGGUCCGUAGGCGGUCAAGUAAGUCAGUGGUGAAAGCCCAUCGCUCAACGGUGGAACGGCCAUUGAUACUGCUUGACUUGAAUUAUUAGGAAGUAACUAGAAUAUGUAGUGUAGCGGUGAAAUGCUUAGAGAUUACAUGGAAUACCAAUUGCGAAGGCAGGUUACUACUAAUGGAUUGACGCUGAUGGACGAAAGCGUGGGUAGCGAACAGGAUUAGAUACCCUGGUAGUCCACGCCGUAAACGAUGGAUACUAGCUGUUGGGAGCAAUCUCAGUGGCUAAGCGAAAGUGAUAAGUAUCCCACCUGGGGAGUACGUUCGCAAGAAUGAAACUCAAAGGAAUUGACGGGGGCCCGCACAAGCGGUGGAGCAUGUGGUUUAAUUCGAUGAUACGCGAGGAACCUUACCAAG
rnacentral:rRNA from 2 species